ensembl:snRNA U6 U6 spliceosomal RNA
GUGCUCACUUUAGCAGCACAUAUACUAAAACAGGGAUGAUGCAGAAAUUAACAUGACCACUGCUCAGGGAUGACAUGAAAUUUUGAGAAGGGUUUUGCAGUUUG